AUUGAACGCUGGCGGCAGGCCUAACACAUGCAAGUCUAACGAGUGGCGGACGGGUGAUUCAUGUCUGGGAAACUGCCUGAUGGAGGGGGAUAACUACUGGAAACGGUCGCUAAUACCGCAUACCAUCGGAUGUGCCCAGAUGGGAUGAGCUAGUAGGUGGGGUAACGGCUCACCUAGGCGACGAUCCCUAGCUGGUCUGAGCGGUUGACCAGCAACACUAGAACUGAGACACGGUCCAGACUCCUACGUGCGGCAGCAGUGGGGAAUAUUGCACAAUGGUCGAAAGUCUGAUGCAGCAGUGCGGGGUGUAUGAAGAAGGCCUGCGAGUUGUAAAGUACUGUCAGCGGGGAGGCGUUACCCGCAGAAGAAGCACCGGCUAACUCCGUGCCAGCAGCCGCGGUAAUAC
rnacentral:rRNA from 1 species